UACGUAGGGGGCAAGCGUUGUCCGGAAUGACUGGGCGUAAAGGGAGUGUAGGCGGCUUAUCAAGUUAGAUGUGAAAUCCCGCGGCUUAACCGCGGAACUGCAUCUAAAACUGGUAAGCUGGAGUGCAGGAGAGGUGAGUGGAAUUCCUAGUGUAGCGGUGGAAUGCGUAGAUAUUAGGAGGAACAUCGGUGGCGAAGGCGGCUUACUGGGCUUUUACUGACGCUGAGGCUCGAAAGCGUGGGGAGCAAACAGG
rnacentral:rRNA from 1 species